rnacentral:misc_RNA from 1 species
AAAGUAUAUGAGAUAAUAAGUACAGAUAUAGGGAUAAGAACUUGUAUCACAACCUCACAGAAGAAGAAGAAGAAAAAAUUAAGAAAUGUGAAAUAUUACAGAGUUGAGACCAUUAAAGAUUCAACUAAUGCAACCUUGUCAACUCUUCCACUCUCUUCAUUAGUUCCUCAACUGGAACUGACAUAGCCUUUGAAAUCUCUUCCAUCCUAUUCCUGCUAAGAUCUAGGAAUGAUUCAAUCAAAUCUCCAUCAAGAAAGUUUUUAGCAUCUACUGUUUUCUUCUCAUUGUAAAACGACCUCCACUGCUCAUGGCUCAGACCUCCCACACCCUUUAUCACUUUCCGUAAGUUUGUCUGCAGCUUCUCCAAAAAUAAAUAUUGAUCAUGAGGUAGUGAUGCAAUCACCCCUAUAACACCAUUCACUGUGCCAAAUAUGACAGUGGGUAUCUGCCCAACAUCUGAAUCUGGUAGUCGCAUGACAAGUGAACCAUGUCUAAACCUAUUAACAAAUUCGCCAAGGUGGUAUUCACCAACCACUUCAAGACGGCUGCGCUCCUCAUCUGUAGCACCUUCACUAUUUUUCCUGACCGUGAAAAGGUUGAAGUUAUUCUCAGCACCAAGAUAAAUGUCAUCAUCGAGAAUCUCAACAGCUGACAUCCAA